UUGACUUAGUACAAAAGCUAGAAGUACACUUAUUUGUGGACGGAGGGAGUAUGAGAUAUUGCCAUUGAAGCUAUUCCCUCGAAGAUCAAUUUUGGCAGGUUUCUGAGGCUGAUUAUGCGUGCACCAUCAAGUACUUCGUAUAAAUGAUUUUUAAGAGAAGAGAGGUACUCGAGCGAAGUACCAUUGAAUAUAUCAUCUGGGAGUCCCCCACUGAGGUUGUUCUGGUCGACCUUGAGCACUUCCAGCAUGAAGCAAAUAUCAAAUCCUUGAGGGAUGCUGGCACUGAAAUGGUUGAAACAGAGCUCAAGCAUAAGAAACGAUGGAGAGCUGUUGAAGAUAUGAGUUGGUAUAUUCCCAGUGAAGUUGGAGUUGCUGGCGUUGACGCCAACCAGAUUGUUCAUUACCUCCCAUGUGGUGUACGAAAACUGUCAUGUAAAAGUUGCUCAAGAUGUUCAGUAUUGCAAAGGUGGCAAAGCACCGCACAUCGAGUUGCGGGAGAGGUUGAGGUGAUGCCAUCCAGGGAGGCUCCCAAGAGACAGAGAGAGACGCACUUUGAGGGCAACAAUAUAUUGGUGACCGUCUUGUUUGAAAUGCAGUUGACCCCUCCCCACUUACAAAAAUCCAUGCUACCCUGUGAUAGUCCCACUAGGAAUUGGAGAAGGGAACCCUUAUCCUAAGGGAGCCCUUCUCCUCCCCCGUGCAUGAGCUGGUGGGAUUGGCAGAGAUCAGCAACACAAGAGAAAGGCCAGGCAAAAGCACAAGAAAGAAAGGUGGCAAGUAACUAGACAGCGUGCACGAAGUAUGGACUAUGCAUAAAAGAUUGCAACAUCAUGAAGUGGUUUAAUACCUACCUUGAACUUCCCCUUUUAUUUUCUAGACAAGAACUUUCCCUUUUCUCUUCUAUACCUCGAGCAUGAACAAGAAAGUUGGUGGGAUAGUUUCCUCACAAACUUGAUUAGAAAAUAUCUCCUAGGCUGGAAGGUCGAUGGAUAUGUUCUGCCUACUAGAGA